UACGUAGGGGGCAAGCGUUGUCCGGAUUUAUUGGGCGUAAAGAGCGUGUAGGCGGCUUUACAGGUCCGUUGUGAAAACUCGAGGCUCAACCUCGAGACGCCGGUGGAAACCGUAAAGCUAGAGUCCGGAAGAGGAGAGUGGAAUUCCUGGUGUAGCGGUGAAAUGCGCAGAUAUCAGGAAGAACACCCGUGGCGAAGGCGGCUCUCUGGGACGGUACUGACGCUGAGACGCGAAAGCGUGGGAGGCGAACAGGAUAGAUAC
rnacentral:rRNA from 1 species